UUCCAGCCCCGGUAGAGCCGGCAUCCUCCCGACCUUCGGAAGGGAGAUAUAGGCGAAAACGGGAGGGGGC
rnacentral:misc_RNA from 1 species